GAACAGGGGUGACACCACCAGGUUUAUUGGGAUGGAGCUGGGGGACCCCAAAACCGCAGGGACAGUCGGACGGAGCGUCAGUCGGACAGAGGGACAGACAGGACAGUGUCACUGCACUGUGGCCAUGGGCUCAUGAUGGUCACUGCGGUCAGGAACUGUCCCCAGGGUGGUCACUGUGGUGGUCACUGUGGUGGUCACUGUGGUCACUGUGGUCAGGAGCUGUCCCCAUGGUGGUCACUGUGGUCACUGUGGUGGUCACUGUGGUCAGGAGCUGUCCCCAUGGUGGCUGUGAUGGUCACUGUGAUGGUCACUGUGAUGGUCACUGUGGUGGUCACUGUGAUGGUCACUGUGGUCAGGAGCUGUCCCCAUGGUGGCCAUGGUGGUCAGUGUGGUGGUCACUGUGGUCACUCAUGGCUCCAUGGCGGUGUCCCAGGGUGGUCAGUGUGGUGGCCAGGGUGGUCAGUGUGGUGGUCACCACGCUGGUCACUGCUCCAUGGCGGUGUCCCAGGGUGGUCAGUGUGGUGGCCAGGGUGGUCAGUGUGGUGGUCACUGUGGUCACUCAGUGCUCCAUGGCUGUGUGCCAGGGUGGUCACCACGAUGGUCA
rnacentral:lncRNA from 1 species